rnacentral:rRNA from 1 species
AGCGAACGCUGGCGGCAGGCUUAACACAUGCAAGUCGAGCGGGCACUUUCGGGUGUCAGCGGCGGACGGGUGAGUAACGCGUGGGAACGUGCCCUCUGGUUCGGAAUAACUCAGGGAAACUUGAGCUAAUACCGGAUACGCCCUUUUGGGGAAAGGCUUGCUGCCGGAGGAUCGGCCCGCGUCUGAUUAGCUAGUUGGUGAGGUAACGGCUCACCAAGGCGACGAUCAGUAGCUGGUCUGAGAGGAUGAUCAGCCACACUGGGACUGAGACACGGCCCAGACUCCUACGGGAGGCAGCAGUGGGGAAUAUUGGACAAUGGGCGCAAGCCUGAUCCAGCCAUGCCGCGUGAGUGAAGAAGGCCUUAGGGUUGUAAAGCUCUUUUAUCCGGGACGAUAAUGACGGUACCGGAGGAAUAAGCCCCGGCCAACUUCGUG